AUAGAAUACAUCAUUUAGCUGGGUAGGCGUUGUUUUGGGGAGGAAGGAAUUGAUCCUAUCUCUGGCUCAAGGUCACAUCAUUAGAAUGAAGAGUGCCAAGCUGACCAGAUCCUGGAAAGCUGGAUGAAGAGCCCAGACUCUGAGAGGCAGCCAGUCAGCCAGCAUCUGCAAAUAGUGGGCCAGUCCAUUGCUUAGUGACCACCUCAGUGCCAUCUACUCUCCCACAAAGUGAAGAACAGGAUCAUUCAGCCUCCCAGGGUUCACACCUGCAGGGGAGAGAUGGGCUGUAACAGAUAACGCCACAUGAUAAGUACGGUAAGAGAGGUAUGCUCAAAGCAGUGAAGGAGUCUCACAUGCCUUUUCUGGAAAAGGGAAGUAAAAUCCCAGGUAAGUUUAUUGGGGGCAUCAAAUGGGGACCUGCCGGCUUGCACUCUGUCCUCUAGAGGGAGCUCAUGCUCUUUCUCUGAGAUCUGAGAAGCCUUCUUUCUUAUCCGGGGAUCUCUUCAAUAGAGCUGGGUUAAGAUAAAUGCUCAGGUGCCUUUUGGUCUUUUUAGAUAUUCCCUGUUGAAUGGCUUCCCACCUUGCUCCUCUUCACAGCUGGUACCAUCGGGGGAGGCUGAGUCCUCCUCCCACUCGAAAACUUUGCUUCCUUCAAUUGGAAGACAAAGCCAGAACCAGAGUGAAGUCUCCCCAGGCAAAAGAAUGACUCAUCUGGGCACAAUUCCUAUUUCAUAGCACAAUCUAAGAAGACAGAUGACAUCAAGAUUUGGGGAUGAUUUUCCCAUAAUAGUCACUUGUGCACAGACUCUAAGGGGGUGGCCUUUGCCAAGGUACUGAAAGGAGGGGUCAAGACAGGGUUCAGAAAUUUGGGACCCAGACAUAUUUAUCACUCACCACAACUAACAGAUAAAUUUAGAUAUUUCCAUUUUAUUUUUUAUUAAUGUUUUCUUUGUCAUUUCAUGACUACAUGAUUUGUUGAAUCAGGGUUCUCUUGAGAAUUUGGCAAAAACCCAAUUCAGAAAUUUUCUAGAAUUUAUUUAUUGCAACAACUAUAUUUCAUAGGAAUAUAUAUCUCUAUUUCCUCGAUUGAUUCCCUUCUUUUCAUCAUGUAUAUUUUUAUAAUCUAUCAAUGUUUCCAUAUGCAUACUCUUACAUAAGGAAGCCUAAAAUAGUCUCUGAUUGUCUCACAUGGAAAAUUAAGAUAGAGUCUCUCAGUUUGUAUGAUAUCCAAAAGAAGAGAGAUAUGGACAAUUUUUUUCAUUUAAUUUUAAUUUUGUUUAUUUAAUGUAUACCACUUGAUGAGUUAGAGAUAAAUAUACACUCAGGAAACCAACAGGGUAUAUACCAGAUACAUCUAUCACCUCCAAAAGUUUCCUCUCACCCUCUUUAAUUAUUAUUACUUUUACUAUGUGAUAACAUUUAACGUAAGAUCUUAGCAAAGGUUUAACCGAAGAUUUAACAUAAGAUCCUAUCAAGUUUUAAAGUGUACAAUUGCUAUAGACUUCUUGUUAGCUGAAACUUUACCAUUUGGUUAAUACUUUUCUGUUUCCCUCUCCCCCAGCCCCUAGAUGCUAGAAGCCACCAUUCUACUCUCUGUUCAAUGAGUUUGACUAUUUUAGAUUCCUCAUAUAAAUGGUAUGUUGUAUUUGUCUGUGUUUAGCUUAUUUUACACUCUCUCAGCUUAUCCAUGUCAUCAGAAUUGGCAAGACUUCCUUUUUUCUUAAGGCUGACUAAUAUUAUAUCGUAUGUGUACAACACAUUUUCUGUAUCCAUUCAUCUGUUGAUGGACAUUUAGGUUGCUUCCGUGUCUUGGCUACAGUAAAUAAUGCUGCAAUGGCUACAGGAGUGCAGAGCAUUUCUUUUAGAUUCUGAUCUCAAUCCUUUGGAUAUAUACCCAGAAAUGAAAUUGCUGCCUCAUAUGGUGGUUCUAGUUUUAAUUUUCUGAGGAACCUCUGUACUGUUUUCCAUAGUGGCUGCACCAAUUUUUUUUCUACCAACAGUGCAUGAGGGUUCCCUUUUCUCUGCAUCUUUGCAACAUUUGUGAUCUCUUGUCUUUUUGAUAAUAGCCAUUUAAUAGGUGUGAGGUGAUACCUUAUUGCGGUUUUGAUUUGCAUUUCCGUGGUGAUUUGUGAUCCAAUUCACAUUUUUAAAAAAUAAGAUGGGUUCUGGAUAUAACCCUAAUAUCGGGGCUUCUACAGAUUCUGAAAAAAGAGGAAACUUAUGCUAAAUAUGAAGCUUGGGGAUUUAGUGCGCUGGUUCUUCUCUGAGAGACUGUGCCUGAGACUAGCUUCAGUGCUGAGACCACACACGGGCACAUUGAGCUCAUGGAGGUGGGCCCUACACAUCCCUCCUGACAGCCUUGGGACAAUUUGUUACAAAGACUUUCUAAUAUUUUUGAAGCUGGAGGGAAUCUUAUA